rnacentral:misc_RNA from 1 species
GCCAGCUGUUUCGUGCAAUUUAGACUAGGUACGUGAUUUUGUGCGUUUCGUACUUAAGAAAUAUAGGUCUUUUCCUUCUCUCCUGCAAAAGAAAACAGAAUAUUUGGCCAAUUUUACCCACAAACCAGAUUAAUCUAUAUGAUCUAAUUUAUAAUUUCCGUUAAGGAAACCAGGAUCUGAUGAUAUAAUCCCAGAGAAAUCGAGGAUAUCCUCGAAAAUCGUAAUGACGACUAGUGCGUUUCUUAGCUUUUUCCUUUAAUUACGUUAUAUUACUUGUCGAUAAUUAUAAUUGAAGUCGGUUUUUUUCGUUUGCGAGCAAACACAAUUGUUAGUACAAAGAGUUACAUAUGAGAUCAAAUUCGGCAACAUAUUAUAUCCCAUGAAAAAAGUCUAGAAUAUUGUUUUAAGAUAAUACGAAACACACACGUGUUUGUGAUAUUUUUAGUGCAAUUCGGUCGCAAUAGUAUGAAUUGCGCAGUACAAAGC